rnacentral:rRNA from 1 species
UAAGGAAUAUUGCGCAAUGGACGAAAGUCUGACGCAGCGACGCCGCGUGGGGGAUGAAGGUCUUCGGAUUGUAAACCCCUUUCGGGAGGGAAGAUGGAGUGGGUAACCACUUGGACGGUACCUCCAGAAGCAGCCACGGCUAACUUCGUGCCAGCAGCCGCGGUAAUACGAAGGUGGCAAGCGUUGUUCGGAUUCACUGGGCGUACAGGGAGCGUAGGCGGUUGGGUAAGCCCUCCGUGAAAUCUCCGGGCCUAACCCGGAAAGUGCAGAGGGGACUGCUCAGCUAGAGGAUGGGAGAGGAGCGCGGAAUUCCCGGUGUAGCGGUGAAAUGCGUAGAGAUCGGGAGGAAGGCCGGUGGCGAAGGCGGCGCUCUGGAACAUUUCUGACGCUGAGGCUCGAAAGCGUGGGGAGCAAACAGGAUUAGAUACCCCUGUAGUCCCUGAGCGGGCUGGCAAGGCGCAU